rnacentral:rRNA from 1 species
GAUGAACGCUGGCGGCGUGCCUAAUACAUGCAAGUCGAGCGGACGGACGAGAAGCUUGCUUCUCUGAUGUUAGCGGCGGACGGGUGAGUAACACGUGGAUAACCUACCUAUAAGACUGGGAUAACUUCGGGAAACCGGAGCUAAUACCGGAUGAUAUUUUGAACCGCAUGGUUCAAAAGUGAAAGACGGUCUUGCUGCCACUUAUAGAUGGAUCCGCGCUGCAUUAGCUAGUUGGUACGGUAACGGCUUACCAAGGCAACGAUGCAUAGCCAACCUGAGAGGGUGAUCGGCCAAACUGGAACUGAGACACGGUCCAGACGCUGACGGGAGGCAGCAGUAGGGAAUCUGCCGCAAGGGGCGAAAGCCUGACGGAGCAACGCCGCGUGAGUGAUGAAGGUCUUCGGAUCGUAAAACUCUGUUAUUAGGGAAGAACAUAUGUGUAAGUAACUGUGCACAUCUUGACGGUACCUAAGCAGAAAGCCACGGCUAACUACGU